rnacentral:sRNA from 1 species
CCCUAGCCCAGACAGAAGCGGCAUCCUUUUUCUUGCGCAGCUGCGGAUGAAAAAGAUACAGCGGAUGGCAUGACAAUAA